UACGUAGGGUGCGAGCGUUGUCCGGAAUUAUUGGGCGUAAAGAGCUCGUAGGCGGUUUGUUGCGUCGGCCGUGAAAACUUGGGCUUAACCCCGAGCCUGCGGUCGAUACGGGCAAACUAGAGUGCGGUAGGGGAGAUUGGAAUUCCUGGUGUAGCGGUGGAAUGCGCAGAUAUCAGGAGGAACACCGAUGGCGAAGGCAGAUCUCUGGGCCGUAACUGACGCUGAGGAGCGAAAGCAUGGGGAGCGAACAGG
rnacentral:rRNA from 1 species